UACGGGGGGAGCAAGCGUUGUUCGGAUUUACUGGGCGUAAAGGGCGCGUAGGCGGCGCAACAAGUCGAUUGUGAAAUCUCCGGGCUUAACUCGGAGCGGCCAAUCGAUACUGUCGUGCUAGAGUGCGGAAGGGGCUACUGGAAUUCUCGGUGUAGCGGUGAAAUGCGUAGAUAUCGAGAGGAACACCUGCGGCGAAGGCGGGUAGCUGGGCCGACACUGACGCUGAGGCGCGAAAGCUAGGGGAGCAAACGGG
rnacentral:rRNA from 1 species